rnacentral:lncRNA from 1 species
UGUGUUGUUGAAAAUGUCUCAUGUGACUCUUAAAUGUUGUACUGUUCAUAACCCUGCUACUCUUUUGUCAACUGACGAUGAUGGGGAACCACACGAUUGUGCUGUCCUUGUGGACCAGGUCUAUAAACCCCACCCUGACCUCUCUUAUGUGCCAUUACUGAAUGUUGAUCUGGAGCUGUUUGUUGAUGGCUCUGCCCAAAAGUCACCACAGGGUGAAUCAUUGGUGGCUUACGCAGUCACUACCGCUGUAGAUACUUUAGAGGGUGCAAAACUGCCAUCACCUCUGUUAGCUCAGGCUGCAGAAUUGUUUGCACUGACUAGGGCGUGCAUUCUAACUAAGGAUAAAACUGUUACCGUUCAUAAGGAUAGCAGAUAUGCAAAUAGUGUACAAUUUUGGAACAUUGUGGCAGCAUCGUUGGUUCCUUACUUCAUCUGGGUAAAAGCGGCUUUACCUGAAUCAAAGGGAGGACCACUCCACAAACUUCAACCAGGCGAUUGGGUUGUCAUCACGGACCUCCGCAGAAAGACCUGGCACCAACAGCGCUGGACUGGUCCAUUCCAGGUGCUCCUGAUGACCCAGACAGCUGUGAAAGUUGCAGAGAGAACUACUUGGGUUCAUGCUAGCCACUGCAGGAAGGUUCCCCACAACCCAGACGAAGAUGUACCAGCCAAUGUCCCGUUGUAGGCAACCCCAG